ACGGGGAGCAGCCCAGAGCCUGAAUCAGUAUGUGUGUUAGUGGAAGCGUCUGGAAAGGCGCGCGAUACAGGGUGACAGCCCCGUACACAAAAAUGCACAUGCUGUGAGCUCGAUGAGUAGGGCGGGACACGUGGUAUCCUGUCUGAAUAUGGGGGGACCAUCCUCCAAGGCUAAAUACUCCUGACUGACCGAUAGUGAACCAGUACCGUGAGGGAAAGGCGAAAAGAACCCCGGCGAGGGGAGUGAAAAAGAACCUGAAACCGUGUACGUACAAGCAGUGGGAGCACGCUUAGGCGUGUGACUGCGUACCUUUUGUAUAAUGGGUCAGCGACUUAUAUUCUGUAGCAAGGUUAACCGAAUAGGGGAGCCGAAGGGAAACCGAGUCUUAACUGGGCGUUAAGUUGCAGGGUAUAGACCCGAAACCCGGUGAUCUAGCCAUGGGCAGGUUGAAGGUUGGGUAACACUAACUGGAGGACCGAACCGACUAAUGUUGAAAAAUUAGCGGAUGACUUGUGGCUGGGGGUGAAAGGCCAAUCAAACCGGGAGAUAGCUGGUUCUCCCCGAAAGCUAUUUAGGUAGCGCCUCGUGAAUUCAUCUCCGGGGGUAGAGCACUGUUUCGGCAAGGGGGUCAUCCCGACUUACCAACCCGAUGCAAACUGCGAAUACCGGAGAAUGUUAUCACGGGAGACACACGGCGGGUGCUAACGUCCGUCGUGAAGAGGGAAACAACCCAGACCGCCAGCUAAGGUCCCAAAGUCAUGGUUAAGUGGGAAACGAUGUGGGAAGGCCCAGACAGCCAGGAUGUUGGCUUAGAAGCAGCCAUCAUUUAAAGAAAGCGUAAUAGCUCACUGGUCGAGUCGGCCUGCGCGGAAGAUGUAACGGGGCUAAACCAUGCACCGAAGCUGCGGCAGCGACGCUGAUGCGUUGUUGGGUA
rnacentral:rRNA from 1 species